rnacentral:ribozyme from 1 species
UGCCCAGCAACUCCUAUCCCUACCUCCUCGCGGUACCGGCCGGAAACUAUGAGCAACCUUAGGGAAGAUCGGGUAACCAACCCCGGUGGAAACUUUGGUCGUAGGCUGACAGGGAAGG